GACAAUUGAAUGGCCGCGGUAACACUGACCGUGAUAAUGUAGCGUAAUCACUAGCCAAUUAAUUGUUGGCCAGUAUGAAUGGCGCCACGAAGGCCCCACUGUCUUAAGGAAAUUCCCAGUGAAAUUGAAUUCGUAGUGAAGAUGCUACGUCCAAUUUGUUAGACGAAAAGACCCCGUUGAGCUUUACUGGGGCACUUACACGGCCCUGGCCUUCAAGCCUAAGUGUGAUAGGCCAAGGCUUACCGCACCUAGGAGUUGGCCGAAUUUAAAUGGGUGGCUUAGACUAUGUGGCAGCCCCCCGUCGGGGCAGAUGAAACCCCACUCCCCCAUGUCAAAGGGGCUAACCCCCUCCUCUUGGGAGGGGGGACAAUGUAAGUAGGACAGUUUGGUUGGGGCGACCGCCUUUUAAAUAGUAACGAAGGUGCGCUUAAGGUGUGUAAUUAAUGACUGAAGCCUGACUGCGAGGGGGACACCCCGAGCAGACACCCCCAAGCCCGCCCGGGAGGGCGGCGAUGGGGUGGGCCAUAGUGACCCGUU
rnacentral:rRNA from 3 species